rnacentral:rRNA from 1 species
CAGUCGCCACGGUAAUACGAAGGGGGCUAGCGUUGCUCGGAAUGACUGGGCGUAAAGGGCGCGUAGGCGGAAUGCUUUGUCGGGCGUGAAAUUCCAGGGCUUAACCUUGGGGCUGCGUUCGAGACGGGUAUUCUAGAGUGGAGAAGAGGGUCGUGGAACUCCCAGUGUAGAGGUGAAAUUCGUAGAUAUUGGGAAGAACACCGGUGGCGAAGGCGGCGACCUGGUCUUUUACUGACGCUGAGACGCGAAAGCGUGGGGAGCAAACAGGAUUAGAUACCCCCGUAGUCCCUGUCUCUUAUAC